GAAAGAUCUACACUGCAAUCAGAUCUCAAGCAUCAGGGAAUUGUCUUUACAGCUCAGUAUCUUUGCUGCUUGUAGGAGACAACAGCUUAUGACUGAGCACCAUGACCUUAGUCUUGUUAAUCUUUUGCCAUUAUCAGUAUCGGCCUCAUGUUUAGAUUCCGGCUUAAAGAAUGAGGAUUUAAUUAAGCAAGAAGCUAUUUUAAAUUGUUAUGAUGGUACCUGGUCACCUUUCUUGUGUAUUCUGGGCUUAUCAUCAGUUAUUGGUAAUGAAAUAUUUACUUAUUAUCCAGAUUGUGGGGACAUAAGACCCAAAUUACUUUUUAAUAGACAUGUAAACCCUCGCUUGGCAAAUGAAGCAAUUGUGAAGGAUGUUGCUGUUCACAUAUUAUUCUGCUAUGAAGGCAAGGUUAAGUCUGGCGAGAGCUUUUUGCCAAACCAUUAUGUUCCUCUUCUUUGCUCAACAAAAAAUGAAAACAUAAA